GGACAUGAGGGUAAUCUGACUGCAACAUCUGCCACCCCAGUGAUUACCAGGGUUGAUUUGGCUAAUCUGGCUGUCUAGGCGGGUGUUCCUAUUCUCCUCCACCACUCCAUGUCUGUCCCUCUUGAAGCUGUGUGGUUGGUGAUGACCAUCUUUGAUAGAGGAGGACCAUUUCCUUGGUUAAGGGUAUACAAAUAGCUGCACUCCCCUGAUAGAACCUCCAAACAAGCUCUCAAGUGCUGGGAUUAUAGGUGUGCACCACCAUGCUCAGUCCAAGACUUCUUCUU
rnacentral:snRNA from 1 species